GACGAACGCUGGCGGCGUGCUUAACACAUGCAAGUCGAACGGAAAGGCCCUGCUUUUGUGGGGUGCUCGAGUGGCGAACGGGUGAGUAACACGUGAGUAACCUGCCCUUGACUUUGGGAUAACUUCAGGAAACUGGGGCUAAUACCGGAUAGGAGCUCCUGCUGCAUGGUGGGGGUUGGAAAGUUUCGGCGGUUGGGGAUGGACUCGCGGCUUAUCAGCUUGUUGGUGGGGUAGUGGCUUACCAAGGCUUUGACGGGUAGCCGGCCUGAGAGGGUGACCGGAGACAGUGAGACAGAGAGACGGCCCAGACUAAGAGGGGAGGCAGAAGGGGGGAAGAUGGAGCAAGGGGCGGAAGCCGGAGGCAGCAAAGCCGAGUGCGGGAGAAGGGACUUCGGGGUGUAAACAGAGGUCGCCUGUGAAGAAGCGGGAGGGACGGUAAUGGGUAAAGAAGCACCGGAUAACUACGUG
rnacentral:rRNA from 1 species